rnacentral:rRNA from 1 species
GACGAACGCUGACGGCGUGCUUAACACAUGCAAGUCGAAGGUAGUGGCGAACGGGUGAGUAAUACCUGAGUAACUUGCUCUUUUCUUUGGGAUACGCCUGGGAAACUUGGCCUAUUACUCGUUGGAUUGGGAUGGGCUCGCGGCUUAUAGGCUUGUUGGUGGGGUGAUGGCUUACCAAGGCUUUGACGGGUAGCUGGCAUGAUAGGGUAGACGGUCACGCUGGGACUGAGAUACGGCCCAGAGUACUAAGGGAGGGGGCAGUGGGGGAUAUUGGACAAUGGACGAAAGACUGAUGCAGCGACGACGUGUGGGGGAUGAAGGCCUUAAGGUUGUGAACUCCUUUCGGCCGCGGAAUGGUAGUGGGUAAAGAAGCGCCGGCUAACUACGUGCCAGCAGCCGCGGUAAUUC